UACAGAGGGUGCAAGCGUUAAUCGGAAGUACUGGGCGGAAAGCGUGCGUAGACGGUUGCGUAAGUCAGAUGUGAAAGCCCCGGGCUCAACCUGGGAAUUGCAUUUGAGACUGCGUAGCUAGGGUGCGGAAGAGGGAAGCGGAAUUUCCGGUGUAGCGGUGAAAUGCGUAGAUAUCGGAAGGAACACCAGUGGCGAAAGCGGCUUCCUGGUCCAGCACCGACGUUCAGGCACGAAAGCGUGGGGAGCAAACAGG
rnacentral:rRNA from 1 species